AACGUAACGGUGGAGUCCAUCUAUAAAGGCUUGGUGUGUAGGUGGAGUGUGUAGGUGGGGUCCAUCUAUAAAGGCUUGGUGUGUAGGUGGAGUCCAUCUAUAAAGGCUUGGUGUGUAGGUGGGGUCCAUCUAUAAAGGCUUGGUGUGUAGGUGGGGUGUGUAGGUGGAGUCCAUCUAUAAAGGCUUGGUGUGUAGGUGGGGUGUGUAGGUGGAGUCCAUCUAUAAAGGCUCGGUGUGUAGGUGGAGUCCAUCUAUAAAGGCUUGGUGUGUAGGUGAGGUGUGUAGGUGGAGUCCAUCUAUAAAGGCUCGGUGUGUAGGUGGAGUCCAUCUAUAAAGGCUUGGUGUGUAGGUGGGGUGUGUAGGUGGAGUCCAUCUAUAAAGGCUCGGUGUGUAGGUGGGGUCCAUCUAUAAAGGCUCGGUGUGUAGGUGAAGUGUGUAGGUGGAGUCCAUCUAUAAAGGCUCGGUGUGUAGGUGGAGUGUGUAGGUGGAGUCCAUCUAUAAAGGCUUGGUGUGUAGGUGGGGUGUGUAGGUGGGGUCCAUCUAUAAAGGCUCGGUGUGUAGGUGGGGUCCAUCUAUAAAGGCUCGGUGUGUAGGUGGGGUGUGUAGGUGGGGUCCAUCUAUAAAGGCUCGGUGUGUAGGUGGAGUCCAUCUAUAAAGGCUCGGUGUGUAGGUGGGGUCCAUCUAUAAAGGCUCGGUGUGUAGGUGGGGUGUGUAGGUGGGGUCCAUCUAUAAAGGCUCGGUGUGUAGGUGGAGUCCAUCUAUAAAGGCUUGGUGUGUAGGUGGAGUGUGUAGGUGGAGUGUAUAGGUGGGGUGUGUAGGUGGAGUCCAUCUAUAAAGGCUCGGUGUGUAGGUGGAGUCCAUCUAUAAAGGCUCGGUGUGUAGGUGGAGUGUGUAGGUGGAGUCCAUCUAUAAAGGCUCGGUGUGUAGGUGGAGUGUAUAGGUGGAGUCCAUCUAUAAAGGCUUGGUGUGUAGGUGGAGUGUGUAGGUGGGGUCCAUCUAUAAAGGCUCGGUGUGUAGGUGGAGUCCAUCUAUAAAGGCUCGGUGUGUAGGUGGAGUGUGUAGGUGGAGUCCAUCUAUAAAGGCUCGGUUUGUAGGUGGAGUCCAUCUAUAAAGGCUUGGUGUGUAGGUGGGGUGUGUAGGUGGAGUCCAUCUAUAAAGGCUCGGUGUGUAGGUGGAGUCCAUCUAUAAAGGCUCGGUGUGUAGGUGGAGUCCAUCUAUAAAGGCUUGGUGUGUAGGUGGGGUGUGUAGGUGGAGUGUGUAGGUGGAGUGUGUAGGUGGGGUGUGUAGGUGGAGUGUGUAGGUGGGGUGUGUAGGUGGAGUCCAUCUAUAAAGGCUUGGUGUAUAGGUGGAGUCCAUCUAUAAAGGCUCGGUGUGUAGGUGGGGUGUGUAGGUGGGGUCCAUCUAUAAAGGCUCGGUGUGUAGGUGGAGUCCAUCUAUAAAGGCUCGGUGUGUAGGUGGAGUCCAUCUAUAAAGGCUCGGUGUGUAGGUGGGGUGUGUAGGUGCAGUGUGUAGGUGGGGUGUGUAGGUGGAGUGUGUAGGUGGGGUGUGUAGGUGGAGGCCAUCUAUAAAGGCUCGGUGUGUAGGUGGAGGCCAUCUAUAAAGGCUUGGUGUGUAGGUGGAGUCCAUCUAUAAAGGCUCGGUGUGUAGGUGGAGUGUGUAGGUGGAGUCCAUCUAUAAAGGCUCGGUUUGUAGGUGGAGUCCAUCUAUAAAGGCUCGGUGUGUAGGUGGGGUGUGUAGGUGGGGUGUGUAGGUGGGGUGUGUAGGUGGAGUCCAUCUAUAAAGGCUCGGUGUGUAGGUGGAGUGUGUAGGUGGAGUCCAUCUAUAAAGGCUCGGUGUGUAGGUGGAGUGUGUAGGUGGAGUCCAUCUAUAAAGGCUCGGUUUGUAGGUGGAGUCCAUCUAUAAAGGCUCGGUGUGUAGGUGGGGUGUGUAGGUGGGGUGUGUAGGUGGGGUCCAUCUAUAAAGGCUUGGUGUGUAGGUGGGGUGUGUAGGUGGAGUCCAUCUAUAAAGGCUUGGUGUGUAGAUGGGGUGUGUAGGUGGAGUCCAUCUAUAAAGGCUCGGUGUGUAGGUGGAGUCCAUCUAUAAAGGCUUGGUGUGUAGGUGGGGUGUGUAGGUGGAGUCCAUCUAUAAAGGCUCGGUGUGUAGGUGGGGUCCAUCUAUAAAGGCUCGGUGUGUAGGUGGAGUCCAUCUAUAAAGGCUCGGUGUGUAGGUGGGGUCCAUCUAUAAAGGCUCGGUGUGUAGGUGGGGUGUGUAGGUGGGGUCCAUCUAUAAAGGCUCGGUGUGUAGGUGGGGUGUGUAGGUGGAGUCCAUCUAUAAAGGCUUGGUGUGUAGGUGGAGUCCAUCUAUAAAGACUCGGUU